rnacentral:rRNA from 1 species
GAUGAACGCUAGCGGCAGGCCUAAUACAUGCAAGUCGAACGAGAUCCAAGAGCUUGCUUUUGGUGAAAGUGGCGCACGGGUGCGUAACGCGUAUGCAACCUACCUUAAUCAGGGGGAUAGCCUCUCGAAAGAGAGAUUAACACCGCAUAACAUUAUGAUAUGGCAUCAUAUUAUAAUCAAAUAUUUAUAGGAUUAAGACGGGCAUGCGUGACAUUAGCUAGUUGGUGAGGUAACGGCUCACCAAGGCUACGAUGUCUAGGGGAUCUGAGAGGAUGACCCCCCACACUGGUACUGAGACACGGACCAGACUCCUACGGGAGGCAGCAGUAAGGAAUAUUGGUCAAUGGAGGCAACUCUGAACCAGCCAUGCCGCGUGCAGGAAGACGGCCCUAUGGGUUGUAAACUGCUUUUAUACGGGAAUAAACCUCUCUACGUGUAGGGGAGUUGAAUGUACUGUAAGAAUAAGGAUCGGCUAACUCCGUGCCAGCCGCCGCGGUAAAAC